AAGUUAUUAAAAAAUAUUUUGAAAAUAUUAUAGGCUGUCUUAGCGUGACUUU
rnacentral:tRNA from 1 species